rnacentral:lncRNA from 9 species
GCUCAGAAAGUGCAUACCCAAAUAUACAAGGCAGACAAAGCCUAAGGCUCUUUGAACCAUGGCUCCCAAAAUCCAGUUAGAUAAACUAUUCCGUUCACCAAAAACUCCCAAAGCGCUCAAAGACAUCACAUGGACCCAACUAGCAUCUAUGAUGUCAGGCGUAGCGAUACAUAGCUUCGAACUGCAUGACACACGUUACUUCCCAGGGAGAGACACCAAACAAACUCAGAGACCUCUCUCUGGACUUUACGUGAAUCUGUGCGAUUGACCAUGGGGAACCACAAGCCCCAGAAUGUGGGCUCGACAAGACUGAAAGAGCUCACGUGAAGACAGCACCGUCACUCCGCACAGCCAGCGACUGAGCCUAACCGCGCUACUGACCGGGGCAGCUACGAUACCCCUUCCGGACAGUCAGUAGCACAGACCCGCUCGGAGAAAUGUAGUGUGAAAAAUACCCGCACGCGCAAGCGCACGGAAAUGCACGCACGCACGCGCAAGCGCAAAGACGCAUACGUUCACCUCUCACGCUGCGCUUCAACUCUGCGACCUCGGGGCCCCCCAAACAGACGGCCAAUCGGAACUGGGCAGACGACUACGGAGGGUGGGAGUAGAGGACUUCCGUCGCUGGUUGGGACAACGGAAGAGCAAUCUCGCCCUGACCAAUCAUCACUCAUAAUCCUUUCCGACCCCUCCCACCGCCUCCGGGAGCCAAUCCCUUGCCCCGUUGCCGUCAGCCCCAGCUAGAGGUGACCAUAUAGAAACGAAGGGGUGAACUUGGAGUAGGUAGAAAGAAGGCUGCAUCCUGGUAUUCAGUGUGUACUCGUGCUCGAAUGCUCCGGGAAGACGGAGAGGAUACAAUGGGGAUGGACCCAGCGGCUCCAUGAGAGCCUCCUCCGGGAACUGUGGUUAACGCCCUCCGCAGUGUACGUGAACCCUCAGUAUUGGAACACGAUGGAUUAUUCCAGAACGACCGCCUCCUACCCUCUAAUGGUACCUUCCGAGUGAAUGGUCUUACCUCCGGCCCUGUCAGUGGUACGUCCCAUGACAGAUGUUCCAUCUCGCGCGCCCCUUGGUGGUGUCAUCGGGGAACAGCCGAUGCAGAUGUUAGUGGACUAUUCCAGGGUGGUCCCCAAAGGGAGGGAGGGCAAAGUUAGGAUUAAAACCUCACAAUUCGCUGGAGUCUUGGACCCGGCAAAAAGUCUUGCUAAACAGAAAUGUACUUCUUUGUAGUGGCACCAAGCGUUUUCUCUGUGCUGGGCAUUGGGCUUGCUUGCGCCUCCCUGGGUAAUAUAGAAUAGGUGUAGUGCGGCAAGCCAGCCAGGGUUCCUC